rnacentral:rRNA from 1 species
UACAGAGGUCUCAAGCGUUGUUCGGAUUCAUUGGGCGUAAAGGGUGCGUAGGCGGCGCGAUAAGUCGGGUGUGAAAUCUCGGAGCUUAACUCCGAAACUGCAUUCGAUACUGCCGUGCUUGAGGACUGGAGAGGAGACUGGAAUUUACGGUGUAGCGGUGAAAUGCGUAGAUAUCGUAAGGAAGACCAGUGGCGAAGGCGGGUCUCUGGACAGUUCCUGACGCUGAGGCACGAAGGCCAGGGGAGCAAACGGG